rnacentral:lncRNA from 1 species
CCGGCUUAGGACCAAUAACAGUAUAACAAAUACAAAAAGUAAGCGGAUACAAACUAGUAUGGUACACAAAACAAACUAACAGUAUAACAAACACAAAAGAUAAGUGCAUAAUAAACUAUUAUGAGAUACAAAAAAGCUAACACCACUAACCUAAAAAACUACAGCCCUAACACUACGAACCAGAAACUCCAGACCUAAAGGAGCACUCCCCUAUUACUACCGCCGCG